GGGUUGUGAGGUUAAGCGACUAAGCGUACACGGUGGAUGCCCUGGCAGUCAGAGGCGAUGAAGGACGUGCUAAUCUGCGAAAAGCGUCGGUAAGGUGAUAUGAACCGUUACAGCCGGCGAUGUCCGAAUGGGGAAACCCAGUGCAAUUCGUUGCACUAUCGUUAACUGAAUACAUAGGUUAACGAGGCGAACCGGGGGAACUGAAACAUCUAAGUACCCCGAGGAAAAGAAAUCAACCGAGAUUCCCCCAGUAGCGGCGAGCGAACGGGGAGCAGCCCAGAGUCUGAAUCAGCUUGUGUGUUAGUGGAACGGUCUGGAAAGUCCGACGGUACAGGGUGAUAGUCCCGUACACCAAAAUGCACAGGUUGUGAACUCGAAGAGUAGGGCGGGACACGUGGUAUCCUGUCUGAAUAUGGGGGGACCAUCCUCCAAGGCUAAAUACUCCUGACUGACCGAUAGUGAACCAGUACCGUGAGGGAAAGGCGAAAAGAACCCCGGCGAGGGGAGUGAAAAAGAACCUGAAACCGUGUACGUACAAGCAGUGGGAGCACCUUCGGGUGUGACUGCGUACCUUUUGUAUAAUGGGUCAGCGACUUAUAUUCUGUAGCAAGGUUAACCGUAUAGGGGAGCCGCAGGGAAACCGAGUCUUAACUGGGCGUUAAGUUGCAGGGUAUAGACCCGAAACCCGGUGAUCUAGCCAUGGGCAGGUUGAAGGUUGGGUAACACUAACUGGAGGACCGAACCGACUAAUGUUGAAAAAUUAGCGGAUGACUUGUGGCUGGGGGUGAAAGGCCAAUCAAACCGGGAGAUAGCUGGUUCUCCCCGAAAGCUAUUUAGGUAGCGCCUCGUGAACUCAUCUUCGGGGGUAGAGCACUGUUUCGGCUAGGGGGUCAUCCCGACUUACCAACCCGAUGCAAACUACGAAUACCGAAGAAUGUUAUCACGGGAGACACACGGCGGGUGCUAACGUCCGUCGUGAAGAGGGAAACAACCCAGACCGCCAGCUAAGGUCCCAAAGUCAUGGUUAAGUGGGAAACGAUGUGGGAAGGCACAGACAGCCAGGAUGUUGGCUUAGAAGCAGCCAUCAUUUAAAGAAAGCGUAAUAGCUCACUGGUCGAGUCGGCCUGCGCGGAAGAUGUAACGGGGCUAAACCAUGCACCGAAGCUGCGGCAGCGACACUAUGUGUUGUUGGGUAGGGGAGCGUUCUGUAAGCCUGCGAAGGUGUGCUGUGAGGCAUGCUGGAGGUAUCAGAAGUGCGAAUGCUGACAUAAGUAACGAUAAAGCGGGUGAAAAGCCCGCUCGCCGGAAGACCAAGGGUUCCUGUCCAACGUUAAUCGGGGCAGGGUGAGUCGACCCCUAAGGCGAGGCCGAAAGGCGUAGUCGAUGGGAAACAGGUUAAUAUUCCUGUACUUGGUGUUACUGCGAAGGGGGGACGGAGAAGGCUAUGUUAGCCGGGCGACGGUUGUCCCGGUUUAAGCAUGUAGGCUGGUUAUCCAGGCAAAUCCGGAUAAUCAAGGCUGAGGUGUGAUGACGAGGCACUACGGUGCUGAAGUAACAAAUGCCCUGCUUCCAGGAAAAGCCUCUAAGCAUCAGGUAACAUCAAAUCGUACCCCAAACCGACACAGGUGGUCAGGUAGAGAAUACCAAGGCGCUUGAGAGAACUCGGGUGAAGGAACUAGGCAAAAUGGUGCCGUAACUUCGGGAGAAGGCACGCUGGUGUGUAGGUGAAGCCCCUGCGGGUGGAGCUGAGACCAGUCGAAGAUACCAGCUGGCUGCAACUGUUUAUUAAAAACACAGCACUGUGCAAACACGAAAGUGGACGUAUACGGUGUGACGCCUGCCCGGUGCCGGAAGGUUAAUUGAUGGGGUUAUCCGUAAGGAGAAGCUCUUGAUCGAAGCCCCGGUAAACGGCGGCCGUAACUAUAACGGUCCUAAGGUAGCGAAAUUCCUUGUCGGGUAAGUUCCGACCUGCACGAAUGGCGUAAUGAUGGCCAGGCUGUCUCCACCCGAGACUCAGUGAAAUUGAACUCGCUGUGAAGAUGCAGUGUACCCGCGGCAAGACGGAAAGACCCCGUGAACCUUUACUAUAGCUUGACACUGAACAUUGAGCCUUGAUGUGUAGGAUAGGUGGGAGGCUUUGAAGCGUGGACGCCAGUCUGCGUGGAGCCAACCUUGAAAUACCACCCUUUAAUGUUUGAUGUUCUAACGUUGGCCCCUGACCGGGGUUGCGGACAGUGUCUGGUGGGUAGUUUGACUGGGGCGGUCUCCUCCCAAAGCGUAACGGAGGAGCACGAAGGUUAGCUAAUCCUGGUCGGACAUCAGGAGGUUAGUGCAAUGGCAUAAGCUAGCUUGACUGCGAGCGUGACGGCGCGAGCAGGUGCGAAAGCAGGUCAUAGUGAUCCGGUGGUUCUGAAUGGAAGGGCCAUCGCUCAACGGAUAAAAGGUACUCCGGGGAUAACAGGCUGAUACCGCCCAAGAGUUCAUAUCGACGGCGGUGUUUGGCACCUCGAUGUCGGCUCAUCACAUCCUGGGGCUGAAGUAGGUCCCAAGGGUAUGGCUGUUCGCCAUUUAAAGUGGUACGCGAGCUGGGUUUAGAACGUCGUGAGACAGUUCGGUCCCUAUCUGCCGUGGGCGCUGGAGAAUUGAGGGGGGCUGCUCCUAGUACGAGAGGACCGGAGUGGACGCAUCACUGGUGUUCGGGUUGUCAUGCCAAUGGCACUGCCCGGUAGCUAAAUGCGGAAGAGAUAAGUGCUGAAAGCAUCUAAGCACGAAACUUGCCCCGAGAUGAGUUCUCCCUGAGACUUUAAGUCUCCUGAAGGAACGUUGAAGACGACGACGUUGAUAGGCCGGGUGUGUAAGCGCAGCGAUGCGUUGAGCUAACCGGUACUAAUGAACCGUGAGGCUUAACCUUACAACGCCGAAG
rnacentral:rRNA from 1 species